CAACCAAAAAAAAAAUACAAACCUUAGCUCUAUUUUUUUUUAUUUAUGGCUUGAAGGAAAAUCUAUAUGUAAGAUGAAUGAAUCAAACAUUAUAAAGACAACUAAGUUGGUUUAGGCUUGGCACCGUCGAUUUUCAAAUUUGAUUCUCAUGUUGAGAUAACAACAAAAUGCUUUUCGUUCGUUGUUUCCUACCCUACUUUAUUGCUCUGAAGAAUUAUCAUAUAAAUAUAUAUAAUAUAUAUAUGUAUAUAUAUUUAUAGAAGUCUUCCUUCAUUGUUUAUGUGCCUUGAUUCAUGGCUAAAUAUGCUUAUUGCAAAAAUAAAAUGUUUGAUCAUUUUGUGCGUAAUUAUAGAUUAUUGGCACACCAUCUGUUUGAUAGAAGUUCUGAGUUAAAAUAAUAUUUAUUCAGUGAUUCUUUCCCUACAAAAAAAAAAAAAAGAAAUAAAAUAAAUAAAUAAAGCGGUCAGGCGGUCACUUUCUUUUAUUUGCGUCUGCUUCUUCUCCUCUGUACCUUUCAAAACUUUUGGAGAGCUUUAUAGUACACUCUCUCUCCUAAUUACCGUCCUUAUUAGAUGCACACUACUUGGAGUUAAUCACUAUCUCUACUUCUCUCUCGCCACCUCACUUACGACUCUCCUCUCCUCCGAUGAAACACAAUUCUCUUCUUCCGAAAGUACAAAACAAACCAUUAUUUUUCUCCCCUAAUUGCAAUAAUCUAUAAUCUGUUCUAUUUUUACUUUUCUUAACCUUUAUAAUUUUCAUAUUAUUGGUUUGAAGUUCUUCAUAAUUAAUUUGAUUUGGUUAUCACAAUGUUCGCAUCGUGGAGUCUAUUUGUAACUACUUGAGGGCAAUUUUAUUUCAUGGAGACUAACACACAUCUUCAGGUUGAGCAUCUUGUGAUUGAGAUGAUUGUUGGUGAAGAUUUUGAAAAGUGGCAAAUUCAUGUGGCAAAGGGAGAACCGCUUCUAAUUAGUCAGUCUGAGGUGCCUUUGUUCGUUGAUUUUCUUUAGUCCUGUAAAAUGUGCUGAUGGACGUGAUUUUCGGCCCUGCCUUUGCUUAUUCAUAAUGUUAUGAGACAUUUGAAUUUUGGUCAUGCCUUUGAGGCCAGAAUAUCUUCUGAAAAAUGUACCAAAACGAUGUCUCUUUGCAACUGGGGCUCCUCAUCAUCAUCAUCACGUUGCAGUCAGAUCAACAGCUCGUGUUGAAGCUGGAGUUGAAGAAGGUGACACUGUUAGUAUGCAUUAUGAUCCAAUGAUUGCUAAGCAUGUAGUGUGGGGGAUAAAAUAGGGCAUUUUUAUUGGUUAAAUUAAAAGACACUUUAUCAAAGUUUCGGGUAUCUAUUCUGGACUAGCAAAGACAGUAUGGUUAUUAAGCUUUUGUUUUCAGUCAGAUAUUCGGCUAUAAUUAUUUGAUAACCCAACAGGGGUUGCUCAAAUGGUAAAUUAGAGCUUUUUAAGAACCACUUAGGUAGCUAAUUUUCUCUAUACAAAUGCUUUUUAGAAUUAGUUAUCAAUUUUCUUAAAUGGGUUCGUUUGCCUUCUAUGUUAUUUAUCAUCAUCAAUUGAUUAUUACCUUUGAUUUUACCUUAAUGUAAAUUCAUAACUUAUCUCUACCUAUA